rnacentral:rRNA from 1 species
CCUACGGGAUGCUGCAGUGAGGAAUAUUGGUCAAUGGGCGCGAGCCUGAACCAGCCAAGUAGCGUGAAGGAUGACUGCCCUACGGGUUGUAAACUUCUUUUAUAAAGGAAUAAAGUCAGGCACGUGUGCCUUUUUGUAUGUACUUUAUGAAUAAGGAUCGGCUAACUCCGUGCCAGCAGCCGCGGUAAUACGGUGGAUCCGAGCGUAAUCCGGAUUUAUUGGGUUUAAAGGGAGCGUAGGUGGGUUGUUAAGUCAGUUGUGAAAGUUUGCGGCUCAACCGUAAAAUUGCAAUUGAUACUGGCAGCCUUGAGUACAGUUGAGGUAGGCGGAAUUCGUGGUGUAGCGGUGAAAUGCUUAGAUAUCACGAAGAACUCCGAUUGCGAAGGCAGCCUACUAAGCUGCCACUGACGUUGAUGCUCGAAAGUGUGGGUAUCAAACAGGAUUAGAUACCCGAGUAGUC